rnacentral:rRNA from 1 species
UGUUUCCGAUAGGUGAACCUGCGGAGGGAUCAUUA